AGUGAACGCUGGCGGUAGGCCUAACACAUGCAAGUCGAACGGCAGCACAGGAGAGCUUGCUCUCUGGGUGGCGAGUGGCGGACGGGUGAGGAAUACAUCGGAAUCUACUCUGUCGUGGGGGAUAACGUAGGGAAACUUACGCUAAUACCGCAUACGACCUACGGGUGAAAGCAGGGGAUCUUCGGACCUUGCGCGAUUGAAUGAGCCGAUGUCGGAUUAGCUAGUUGGCGGAGUAAAGGCCCACCAAGGCGACGAUCCGUAGCUGGUCUGAGAGGAUGAUCAGCCACACUGGAACUGAGACACGGUCCAGACUCCUACGGGAGGCAGCAGUGGGGAAUAUUGGACAAUGGGCGUAAGCCUGAUCCAGCCAUACCGCGUGGGUGAAGAAGGCCUUCGGGUUGUAAAGCCCUUUUGUUGGGAAAGAAAUCCAGCUGGUUAAUACCCGGUUGGGAUGACGGUACCCAAAGAAUAAGCACCGGCUAACUUCGUGCCAGCCGCCGCAGUAA
rnacentral:rRNA from 1 species